rnacentral:rRNA from 1 species
UACAGAGGUCUCAAGCGUUGUUCGGAUUCAUUGGGCGUAAAGGGCGCGUAGGCGGCUCGGCACGUCCGUUGUGAAAUCGCCCGGCUCAACUGGGCGGGGUCAGCGGAUACGGUCGAGCUUGAGCAAGCUAGGGGGUAAUGGAAUUCCCGGUGUAGUGGUGGAAUGCGUAGAUAUCGGGAGGAACACCAGUGGCGAAGGCGGUUACCUGGAGCUUUGCUGACGCUGAGGUGCGAAAGCGUGGGGAGCAAACAGG